rnacentral:tRNA from 1 species
AAAAACUUAGCUUAAGUUUAAAGUGUUGGAUUUUUGAUCCUUUGAUAUUUUUAUAGUUUUUG